GAGGACACCGCUGAUCAGAAAAUACAUAGAAACCAUGAGAACGUGUCCCAUGUUUCGCUGAGGACAUCCAUUAUUUAUUCCUUUCCCACAUGAUUUCUAAUCAUAGAUAGUGAGACAGACGUUGAUUCUGGAGGGAUAUUUAUACUCUGAGUACAGAAUACAUAUAGUUUCAGAUUUCUAGACAACUGCUUAGAAGAACCCAUGGUGCUGAUUGUUGGGGCAAGGUCAGAUGAGUCUGGGCAUUUAAAACCUUUGAGAUUGACAUCACCUGGUCUUCCCAGAUGAUGAUGGAGAACAAUCCAUGACACUGGCAGGUCUCAGCUUUGCAAAGGGGGCAGUGCAUGCUAUAAAUUCUGCAGGGUGCCCAAACU